GCCCAGCACCGAAUUCCACGGUCGGAUCGAUCGUCGGAAAAUGUGGUGUUAGGAAGCGUCCGCUAUUCCGGGGUUUUGCGACGAGUCCAAGUCCAUCUUGAACGGGGCCAUAACCCAUAGAGGGUGCCAGGCCCGUAGUGACCGUUGCUGACUUCGGAAGGACGUCUUCUGAGAGUCGGGUUGCUUGAGAGUGCAGCCCUAAGUGGGUGGUAAMCUCCAUCUAAGGCUAAAUAUAACCACGAGACCGAUAGCGAACAAGUACCGUGAGGGAAAGUUGAAAAGAACUUUGAAGAGAGAGUUCAAUAGUACGUGAAACCGUUCAGGGGUAAACCUGAGAAACCCGAAAGGUCGAAGGGGGAGAUUCAUUCGCGUCUCGCCUGCUGGCCUAGUGCCGCAGCGUGACGAGGGACGUCCGCGUCUCUCGCUCCGGCGGUGCCUGUGUCGGUGACGAACGCGUGCACUUCUCCCCUGGUAGGACGUCGCGAUUCGUUGGGUGUCGGUCUAAGGACCGCGGUGGAGCCCGCGCGCUCGCUUCGGCGCAGCGUGCGGACCCGCGGCUUCCCGAUCGGCUCGCUCGACGGUAUACUUGAGGCGCGAGGCCGCGACUUAGUUCGCGUCCGGCCCUCGGCAAGCGUGCCAACUGCGUUGGUGACCGGACCUGGUGCCGGUCCCGACCGUUGGUGGCUGUUCGCUGAGGUGUUCUCGGACAGACCUCGAUGAAACGCCGAUCUGCGACGCUAUAGCUUUGGGUACUUUCAGGACCCGUCUUGAAACACGGACCAAGGAGUCUAGCAUGUUCGCAAGUCAUUGGGACAUUACUAAACCUAAAGGCGAAAUUAAUGUGAAGGUCCGCCUUGCGCGGGCCGAGGGAAGAUGGGUGGUCGCCCUUAAAGUGGCCGCCCCGCACUCCCGGGGCGUCUCGUUCUCAUUACGAGAAGAGGCGCACCAAGAGCGUACACGCUGGGACCCGAAAGAUGGUGAACUAUGCCUGGUCAGGACGAAGUCAGGGGAAACCCUGAUGGAGGUCCGUAGCGAUUCUGACGUGCAAAUCGAUCGUCGGAACUGGGUAUAGGGGCGAAAGACUAAUCGAACCAUCUAGUAGCUGGUUCCCUCCGAAGUUUCCCUCAGGAUAGCUGGCGCUCGUUGCUCACGAGUCUCAUCCGGUAAAGCGAAUGAUUAGAGGCAUUGGGGUCGAAACGACCUCAACCUAUUCUCAAACUUUAAAUGGGUGAGAUCUCCGGCUUGCUCGAACAUGAAGCCGCGAGAUAAUUCUUUACGGAUCAGAGUGCCAAGUGGGCCAUUUUUGGUAAGCAGAACUGGCGCUGUGGGAUGAACCAAACGCCGAGUUAAAGCGCCUAAAUCGACGCUUAUGGGAUACCAUGAAAGGCGUUGGUAACUUAAGACAGCAGGACGGUGGCCAUGGAAGUCGGAAUCCGCCAAGGAGUGUGUAACAACUCACCUGCCGAAGUUACUAGCCCUGAAAAUGGAUGGCGCUGAAGCGUCGUGCUUAUACUCGGCCGUCAGAGGCAUGUGCGGCCGCCUCGAGCGGUCAUGAAGCCCUGACGAGUAGGAGGGUCGCGGCGGUGAGCGCAGAAGGGCUGGCCGUGAGGCCGUCUGGAGCCGCCGUCGGUGCAGAUCUUGGUGGUAGUAGCAAAUACUCCAGCGAGACCCUGGAGGACUGACGUGGAGAAGGGUUUCGUGUGAACAGCCGUUGCACACGAGUCAGUCGAUCCUAAGCCCUAGGCGAAAGCCGAUGUUGAUGUGGUGUAAGUUCAUUGCUAGUGCACACACCCGUCGGGCGAAAGGGAAUCCGGUUCCUAUUCCGGAACCCGGCAGCGGAACCGUCAAAAAGUCGGGCCCUCGUAUGAGAGUUCGUCGGGGUAACCCAAAAGGACCCGGAGACGCCGUCGGGAGAUCCGGGAAGAGUUUUCUUUUCUGCAUGAGCGUCCAAGUUCCAUGGAAUCCUCUAGCAGGGAGAUAUGGUUAGGGGCGCGAAGAGCACCGCAGUUGCGGCGGUGUCCGGAUCUUCCCCUCGGACCUUGAAAAUCCGGGAGAGGGCCACGUGGAGGCGUC
rnacentral:rRNA from 1 species